AUACGGAGGGUGCGAGCGUUAAUCGGAAUUACUGGGCGUAAAGCGUGCGUAGGCGGUUUGUUAAGUCAGAAGUGAAAGCCCUGGGCUCAACCUGGGAACGGCUUUUGAGACUGGCAGACUCGAGUUGAGUAGAGGGGAGUGGAAUUUCCGGUGUAGCGGUGAAAUGCGUAGAGAUCGGAAGGAACACCAGUGGCGAAGGCGACUCCCUGGACUCAAACUGACGCUGAGGUACGAAAGCGUGGGUAGCAAACAGGAUUAGAUACCCCAGUAGUCC
rnacentral:rRNA from 1 species